rnacentral:misc_RNA from 1 species
AAGUCGUAACAAGGUUUCCGUAGGUGAACCUGCGGAAGGAUCAUUAACACAUCCUUUUCAAAUAUAAACAAUGGCGCACUGUAAGAACUGUGAUUAAAAGGAGGCUACUAGGCAACGGUUUGAAUCUCUUCGGAGGUAGGCCUUUUAGUAGACUUAGUCAUUUUAAUUAAUGAUUAACUCACUUCUUUUUCACGGCAUACAGCCUCUUACCUGGCUGGCACUUUUUUUUUUUAACAACUUGAUGUUAGCACUGAUGUUGGCUUUCAGAUUGAGAAGGUUCGCCUUUUCUCUGGUUGCCGUCGAUGGAGAAAUCCAUUGUAAAUUAACAAAACACAACUCUUAACAGCGGAUAUCUCGGUUCUC